rnacentral:rRNA from 1 species
GACGAACGCUGGCGGCGUGCCUAAUACAUGCAAGUCGAGCGGACUUAAAAAGCUUGCUUUUUAAGUUAGCGGCGGACGGGUGAGUAACACGUGGGCAACCUGCCUGUAAGACUGGGAUAACUUCGGGAAACCGGAGCUAAUACCGGAUAAUCCUUUUCUACUCAUGUAGAAAAGCUGAAAGACGGUUUACGCUGUCACUUACAGAUGGGCCCGCGGCGCAUUAGCUAGUUGGUGAGGUAACGGCUCACCAAGGCGACGAUGCGUAGCCGACCUGAGAGGGUGAUCGGCCACACGGGGACUGAGACACGGCCCAGACUCCUACGGGAGGCAGCAGUAGGGAAUCUUCCGCAAUGGACGAAAGUCUGACGGAGCAACGCCGCGUGAGUGAUGAAGGUGUUCGGAUCGUAAAACUCUGUUGUUAGGGAAGAACAAGUAUGAGAGUAACUGCUCGUACCUUGACGGUACCUAAACAGAAAGCCACGGCUAACUACGUG